GAGUAAGACCAAGCGGCGGACGGGUGAGUAACGCGUGGGUAACCUGCCCUAUACACAUGGAUAACAUACUGAAAAGUUUACUAAUACAUGAUAAUAUAUAUUUACGGCAUCGUAGAUAUAUCAAAGUGUUAGCGGUAUAGGAUGGACCCGCGUCUGAUUAGCUAGUUGGUGAGAUAACUGCCCACCAAGGCGACGAUCAGUAGCCGACCUGAGAGGGUGAUCGGCCACAUUGGAACUGAGACACGGUCCAAACUCCUACGGGAGGCAGCAGUGGGGAAUAUUGCACAAUGGGCGCAAGCCUGAUGCAGCAACGCCGCGUGAACGAUGAAGGUCUUCGGAUCGUAAAGUUCUGUUGCAGGGGAAGAUAAUGACGGUACCCUGUGAGGAAGCCCCGGCUAACUACGUGCCAGCAGCCGCGGUAAUACGUAGGGGGCUAGCGUUAUCCGGAUUUACUGGGCGUAAAGGGUGCGUAGGUGGUCUUUCAAGUCGGUGGUUAAAGGCUACGGCUCAACCGUAGUUAGCCUCCGAAACUGGAAGACUUGAGUGCAGGAGAGGAAAGUGGAAUUCCCAGUGUAGCGGUGAAAUGCGUAGAUAUUGGGAGGAACACCAGUAGCGAAGGCGGCUUUCUGGACUGCAACUGACACUGAGGCACGAAAGCGUGGGUAGCAAACAGGAUUAGAUACCCUGGUAGUCCACGCUGUAAACGAUGAGUACUAGGUGUCGGGGGUUACCCCCCUCGGUGCCGCAGCUAACGCAUUAAGUACUCCGCCUGGGGAGUACGCACGCAAGUGUGAAACUCAAAGGAAUUGACGGGGACCCGCACAAGUAGCGGAGCAUGUGGUUUAAUUCGAAGCAACGCGAAGAACCUUACCUAAGCUUGACAUCCCUUAGACCGGUGUUUAAUCACACCUUCCCUUCGGGGCUGAGGUGACAGGUGGUGCAUGGUUGUCGUCAGCUCGUGUCGUGAGAUGUUGGGUUAAGUCCCGCAACGAGCGCAACCCUUGUCUUUAGUUACCAGCAUUCAGUUGGGCACUCUAGAGAGACUGCCAGGGAUAACCUGGAGGAAGGUGGGGAUGACGUCAAAUCAUCAUGCCCCUUAUGCUUAGGGCUACACACGUGCUACAAUGGGUGGUACAGAGGGUUGCCAAACCGUGAGGUGGAGCUAAUCCCUUAAAGCCAUUCUCAGUUCGGAUUGUAGGCUGAAACUCGCCUACAUGAAGCUGGAGUUACUAGUAAUCGCAGAUCAGAAUGCUGCGGUGAAUGCGUUCCCGGGUCU
rnacentral:rRNA from 1 species